GGCGUGCCUAAUACAUGCAAGUCGAACGCUUUUAUCUCACCGGGUGCUUGCACCCACCGAGAUAAAGGAGUGGCGGACGGGUGAGUAACACGUGGGUAACCUGCCCAUAAGUGGGGGAUAACAUUCGGAAACGGAUGCUAAUACCGCAUAUCUCUAUUGGCCUCAUGGCCAAGUGAUGAAAGGCGGCUUCGGCUGUCGCUUAUGGAUGGACCCGCGGCGCAUUAGUUAGUUGGUGAGGUAACGGCUCACCAAGACGAUGAUGCGUAGCCGACCUGAGAGGGUGAUCGGCCACACUGGGACUGAGACACGGCCCAGACUCCUACGGGAGGCAGCAGUAGGGAAUCUUCCGCAAUGGACGAAAGUCUGACGGAGCAACGCCGCGUGAGUGAAGAAGGUUUUCGGUUCGUAAAACUCUGUUGUUAGAGAAGAACAAGGAUGAGAGUAACUGCUCGUCCCUUGACGGUAUCUAACCAGAAAGCCAUGGCUAACUACGUGCCAGCAGCCGCGGUAAUACGUAGAUGGCAAGCGUUGUCCGGAUUUAUUGGGCGUAAAGCGAGUGCAGGCGGUUCUUUAAGUCUGAUGUGAAAGCCCCUGGCUUAACCAGGGAGGGUCAUUGGAAACUGGAGGACUUGAGUGCAGAAGAGGAAAGUGGAAUUCCAUGUGUAGCGGUGAAAUGCGUAGAUAUAUGGAGGAACACCAGUGGCGAAGGCGACUUUCUGGUCUGUAACUGACGCUGAGACUCGAAAGCAUGGGGAGCAAACAGGAUUAGAUACCCUGGUAGUCCAUGCCGUAAACGAUGAGUGCUAAGUGUUGGAGGGUUUCCGCCCUUCAGUGCUGCAGCUAACGCAUUAAGCACUCCCGCCUGGGGAGUACGGCCGCAAGGCUGAAACUCAAAGGAAUUGACGGGGGCCCGCACAAGCGGUGGAGCAUGUGGUUUAAUUCGAAGCAACGCGAAGAACCUUACCAGGUCUUGACAUCCUUUGACCACUCUAGAGAUAGAGCUUUCCCUUCGGGGACAAAGUGACAGGUGGUGCAUGGUUGUCGUCAGCUCGUGUCGUGAGAUGUUGGGUUAAGUCCCGCAACGAGCGCAACCCUUAUUAUUAGUUGCCAGCAUUUAGUUGGGCACUCUAGUGAGACUGCCGGUGACAAACCGGAGGAAGGUGGGGAUGACGUCAAAUCAUCAUGCCCCUUAUGACCUGGGCUACACACGUGCUACAAUGGAUGGUACAACGAGUUGCGAAACAGUGAUGUUUAGCUAAUCUCUUAAAGCCAUUCUCAGUUCGGAUUGUAGGCUGCAAUUCGCCUACAUGAAGCCGGAAUCGCUAGUAAUCGCGGAUCAGCACGCCGCGGUGAAUACGUUCCCGGGCCUUGUACACACCGCCCGUCACACCACGAGAGUCUGUAACACCCAAAGUCGGUGAGGUAACCUUCGGGAGCCAGCCGCCUAAGGUGGGAUGGAUAAUUGGGGUGAAG
rnacentral:rRNA from 1 species